rnacentral:tRNA from 1 species
UUUUUUAUAGUGUAAAAAACACAUAACAUUUUCAUUGUUAAAAUGAUUUUCCUAUCUAAAAAAA